AAAACUUAGCACCUCAAUAUCUGACCAUAAAAUUAAAUUAAUAUUUAACAUUACAGCAAGUGUACCUCUGCCUGAUCAGAGAAAUGAUACUCUUGAAUUGGAAAACCAGCAACGACUCUUGAAGACAUUAGAGACAAUCACCAACCGACUCAAAAGGACUCUCAAUAAGGAACCCAUGUAUGCUUUUCAACUUGCAUCAGAAAUGGUGAUAGCUGACAGCAAUUCAUUGGAAACAGAAAAGGCAUUUCUCUUUUGCAGACCAGGCUCGGUGCUAAGAGGACGAAUGUGUGUUAAUUGCCCUUUGGGGACCUAUUAUUCUCUGGAACAUAAUGUCUGUGAAAGCUGCUGGAUCGGAUCCUAUCAAGAUGAAGAGGGAAAAGUAGAGUGUAAACUUUGCCCUGCUGGUAGUUCCACUGAAUACCUCCAUUCAAGAAGCAUCUCUGAAUGUAAAGGUGAGUAGGCGAGAAUCAUCCUCAUUC